CCUUAAUGAAACUGUUUUUGCAAUGCAUGUCAAUCUAUCUUUAAUCCUACGUAGAAGGCCCUGUGGCUAUAUCUGAUGAGGGCAGAUUCUGCUGGUGCUUGUGGGACUUUGGGGAGCCCUUUUGUAGCUCCCAGCUCAGCAGUUAAGCCUGUUACAGUAAACCCUUUAGUUGUGCUAUUCAGGUUGUUUCUCACCCUUCCCCAGGUCCAGGCUGUUCAGCAAACACCACUCCGAGUGCAGAGCUAUGGGGGAAGUGGGAGGGUGUAGAGAGAUGGGGGUCGGUCUCUUUUCUCAAGUCACAGGCGACAGGACGAGAGGAAAUGGCCUCAAGCUGCGUCAGGGUAGGUUCAGGCUGGAUAUUAGGAAAAAUUUUUUCACUGAAAGGGUUCUCAGGCAUUGGAAUGGGCUGCCCAGGGAGGUGGUUGAGGCCCCAUCCCUGGAGGUGUUCAAAAGACGGGUUGAUGUAGUGCUGGGAGGUCUGGUUUAGUGAUGAUGCUCCUUGUUUGUUGUGUGGGUGUCUAUUUUUGUCAGUGAGACAGGACAAGAGGAAAUGGCCUCAAGUUGCGCCAGGGGAGGUUCAGGCUGGAUAUUAGGAAAAAUUUUUUCACUGAAAGGGUUCUCAGGCAUUGGAAUGGGCUGCCCAGGGAGGUGGUUGAGGCCCCAUCCCUGGAGGUGUUCAAAAGACGGGUUGAUGUAGUGCUGGGAGGUCUGGUUUAGUGAUGAUGCUCCUUGUUUGUUGUGUGGGUGUCUAUUUUUGUCAGUGAGGUUGACGGUUGGACAAGAUGAUCUUUAAGGUCCCUUCCAACCUAGAAGAUUCUGUGAUUCUGUGUUUUGCUACAGUUACGGCCCCUUCCUUCAACAACCGAAAAACCCACGUGCAGAGCUGCGAGGGAGGGGAAGGAGGAUCCUCAUCCUGCUUGUUGCACGUGUGCACAUCUGGAUUUUCACCUGGGGGUCUGCCAUGAGGCUAAAUAAACCUCACAAAUGAAGACAUCCCAAUUAUGCUCCCACCCGGGUCACGCCACCUUGUCCUGCUUGCUCUGCCAGAGAUCAUCCAGAAGUGCAACCAGGAUCACAAUUUAUGGUUUUCGAGGAGAUCCACUUUUCCCAGCGAAUGUAUGGCAGGAGCAGACUGCAGCAGGGAAUUCCCCCGUCUCUCACCAAUCCGGUACUUUGGUUUCUUCAGGGAACUUGCUCAUCUUUCAGAAACCACGAUUUGGUAACUGGAUGCAAUAUCAAAGUUUACCACAAAAACUGUCAAAAGGAGAAAUGAACGCUCUUGCUGAAAUAUGAAAACCACAGUAAAACUCUUCAAAAUGAAGUGUAAAAGCGUUGGGGUUGCAUAGUGACAAUGGGGAGAUGUUGAGGACUAACAGAUGAGACACUGGGGAGAGUAAGUUGCUCAUGCAGGUCAGAACUAGGCUGGUUGUAUUUCUGGCUUUGGGGCCUGAGGCUUUUAAAAUAGUGGUGGUGGUGGCCGGACAGUGACAUAGCAGCUGCUCCAUCCUUCCCCAGCCUUGUGUGUGCAGCGGAUGGACUGUCAGAGCUCUUCUCCUGUGGCUCCUCUUUACAAGUCCUCAAAGUUAAAUCAGAAUCUGUGUCUAUUUAAACUGGAAG
rnacentral:lncRNA from 1 species